UUCUUUUUAUUUUCUUUUUUUACUGUUAAAAUAUUCCUUAUCAAUUUCUCCAACCAAAACCCAAUCAAAUUUAUUUUCUAUUUCUCCGACUACAGUCACGGCACAGGUCACCUAAUUCCACCACUGUCAUAACGGCACAGUUUCAUCUCCGCCUCACCUAAUUUUAUUUCUCCGCAAAGAACAGCUCCGAGGCGGAGUGGAGGUGAAAACAAAGAAAAGAGGACAAUUGGUGAAUUAUCUGCUGCUGAUUUUGUUCUUGGUCCUAUUUCUUGUGUUAAUGAAAUUCAUAGCGCUAUCUUCGACCUUAACCAGAAUGUCUUCACCGCCAUUGUGUUCAAGUUUAUUUGCUGUUGCAUCUGGGUUUGGAUGUUGAUUCCAGUAUCUAGAUUUGGAAGUAAGUUGAGUUCCUCCAUAAAAAUUAGGAUAAGCGGUUGUGCGACGACUUUGUUUACUGCUGCAGCUGUCAUUAGUGAACCACAUAUUAGAUGUUAUUGUUUGACGGUUGAUCCAAGUAUUUUGGUGAGAAGGAAGUUUUUAAUUUGUAAUUUUUAUGAUCAGGUUUGCCUUUGGUUAACUAAUGGUUAACCAAUAAUUUUAGAUUUAAAAAAGACGAUUUAGGCUUUGUUUGACAGUUGCUGUUGUGGUGAUGAAGGCGGAGGAGUUUAUAAUAAAAUUUUGUAAUUAUUUUUUUUGUUGGUUAACCAAUGGUUUACUAAUGGUACACCAAUAAUUUUGUUUGUAAUACACUGUUAGUAAACGCUAAGUUAACCGUUGGAAACUUGUACUAAUUUCUAUUAUGAUUAUAUGAUUAAUAAAUUGUUGGUAAAUUUUAAUUGUGUA